rnacentral:rRNA from 1 species
GACGAACGCUGGCGGCGUGCUUAACACAUGCAAGUCGAACGGAAAGGCCCUGCUUUUGUGGGGUGCUCGAGUGGCGAACGGGUGAGUAACACGUGAGUAACCUGCCCUUGACUUUGGGAUAACUUCAGGAAACUGGGGCUAAUACCGGAUAGGAGCUCCUGCUGCAUGGUGGGGGUUGGAAAGUUUCGGCGGUUGGGGAUGGACUCGCGGCUUAUCAGCUUGUUGGUGAGGUAGUGGCUUACCAAGCCUUUGACGGGUAGCCGGCCUGGGAGGGUGACCGGCCACAUUGGGCCUGAGGUACGGCCCAGUCUCCUACGUGAGGCAGCAGUGGGGAAUAUUGCGCAAUGGGGGGAAGCCUGAUGCAGCGGCGCCGCGUGCGUAAUGACGGCCUUCGGGUUGUAAACCUCUUUCGCCUGUGACGAAGCGUGAGUGACGGUAAUGGGUAAGGAAGCACCGGCUAACUACGUG